AGAACGAACGCUGGCGGCAGGCUUAACACAUGCAAGUCGAACGCUCCGCAAGGGGAGUGGCAGACGGGUGAGUAACGCGUGGGAAUCUACCCAAUACUACGGAAUAGCUCCGGGAAACUGGAAUUAAUACCGUAUGUGCCCUACGGGGGAAAGAUUUAUCGGUAUUGGAUGAGCCCGCGUUGGAUUAGCUAGUUGGUGAGGUAACGGCCCACCAAGGCGACGAUCCAUAGCUGGUCUGAGAGGAUGAUCAGCCACACUGGGACUGAGACACGGCCCAGACUCCUACGGGAGGCAGCAGUGGGGAAUAUUGGACAAUGGGCGCAAGCCUGAUCCAGCCAUGCCGCGUGAGUGAUGAAGGCCUUAGGGUUGUAAAGCUCUUCAGGUGGGAAGAUAAUGACGGUACCCACAGAAGAACGCCCGGCUAACUUCGUGCCAGCAGCCG
rnacentral:rRNA from 1 species